GACGAACGCUGGCGGCGUGCUUAACACAUGCAAGUCGAACGGAAAGGCCCUGCUUUUGUGGGGUGCUCGAGUGGCGAACGGGUGAGUAACACGUGAGUAACCUACCCUUGACUUUGGGAUAACUUCAGGAAACUGGGGCUAAUACCGGAUAGGAGCUCCUGCUGCAUGGUGGGGGUUGGAAAGUUUCGGCGGUUGGGGAUGGACUCGCGGCUUAUCAGCUUGUUGGUGGGGUAGUGGCUUACCAAGGCUUUGACGGGUAGCCGGCCUGAGAGGGUGACCGGCCACAUGGGGACUGAGAGACGGCCCAGACUCCUACGGGAGGCAGCAGUGGGAAAUAUUGCACAAUGGGCGGACGCCUGAUGCAGAAACGCCGCGUGCGGGAUGACGGCCUUCGGGUUGUAAACCGCUGUCGCCUGUGAGGAAGCGUGAGUGACGGUAAUGGGUAAAGAAGCACCGGCUAACUACGUG
rnacentral:rRNA from 1 species